rnacentral:lncRNA from 1 species
UUUGGAAUCAUGGUUUGAUUAGGGUUCUGUGUAGGUUAGCUGUAUGCUCAGCGUGAGUGUUUGCUUUUUGAUGGCUAAUUUUGAUGCAUGGGAGCAAAAAUUAAAUAAAAUAAAAUAACUGUGGCAUUUAAGUAAAUACAAAUAAAAAUAUUUCCAUGGUAAUAAAAUUAUAUAUUUCAGGUGUUUUGUUGUUUAGUCACUGGGAUCUUGGUUAUAUCAGAAGUUACAAAAUUAAAUAAAGUUGCACAUGUGAAACUGACAAAAGAAUAAAGAACAAAGGAAAUGACAUCAGGGCAAAUGAAAACAUACAAGAGGAAAGUUCUACUGACAAAUAUGUUGCAUAUAUUAAGGAAAAACAUAAUUACAAAUAUUUUCAUAAUAUAUGUUGUGUUUAAUUAACAGUUCAUGUACGGCUUGAUUCAGUUUAUUACAUGUUUUGUUAUUUAGGAAGCAGAAAGGGCAUCGUAGUCACACUAAUCUCCUGUGACAGACUGCCCCUCAGCUCCUCCACUUUCCUCCCCCACACCUUCAGUACGGUGCCCGAAAGCUCACGUUAUCCCGGCUGUGCACGCGAUUACAGCAACAGCAAAGUUUUGUGAACAGGCACGAUUCAGUGGGCUUGAUUUGACGAGGCUGACAACAGCAAUUACCUCCUCUCACACAGUGCCUGAACAGUGCAUCUUCUCGCAACACUUCAACUGUAAGUCUUCAACUGUAAUGGUGGACAAAAACAUUCCAAGAACACUUUGUUUUUUAGAUCAAAUAUUUAAUAGUCUGGUCUUAAAAUAGCAUUCAAUAAACCCAAGAAACAAUUCAACUGGUGGAGAAAUCCAAUACAAUAAAGCAUGCUCAGUAUAUCUGCUAAAGCAUGAGGCAUGUUCAACAUCUUUCACAUUAGAACAAGUAAAUCAUGCAGUGGCAGCAGACUUUCACAUUUAACAAAGACACCUGGCCACCAAAUCAGCUCUGCAGCAGCAACUGGGGGAAGUCGAGGGGUGAUUGCUGCUACUACAGUAGUCAGAAAAAAAAUCCAAAAAAGGUUGAUCAUAAAACCUUUGUACUUACUUUAUCUUUCAGUGCAAAUCCUUCUCCCUCUUAUAAACAUGUCUUCUACUAACAGUCUUUUAAAAAACAAACAAACAAAGAAAAAACUUAUCAGCUUCACAUUUUCUGCCAAAAUCUCAUGAAUAAAUACAUAAAGCACAUAAUGAUACACACUUACUGGGAACUAGCAUAAUUUCUGCUAGAAUAAAAUACAGAGUUCUGCCAUUAAAAAAUCCUUAAAACAAUCAAUCAAAAAUCCUUAUUAAUGUUCAGAUAAUGCAGUAUAUGGAUGAGUGUUACACACCCACACACAUACAAAGAGCUGGAUAUUAUCUUCUUGAAAUAUGACACAUGGCAAUAUGUUUAUAUAACAGAAUCCUGAAACCACAAAUAUGAAAUUAGAUGCUUAUGCAACUGCAUGAGGCAAAAGUUUAGGAUAAGAAUGACUGAAAGAGGACCUACUAUGCUCAUAUUUUUUGUUCUUGGGCAAAGUAGUAGCUUUGCACAACUCACAGGUCAAAAUAAUCCUUAUUUAUCUUAUACUGGGCACUGUUGAAGCACUGUUGAUUCAUUUAUCAUCCUUUAAGACUUCUCUUGCUUUAAGCCUUCUGAUUGUCUGGCCUUCCUAACCGAAGGAUGGAAAAGCAGUUGGGACUUGCCUGAAAUGCCCAUAUAAGUAUAUCCUCUCUCUUUGAUGAGAUACAGAGCGGAGAGUACAAAAAACCGAUCUGAAGUCAUUGUGACCCCUUGCACCUUUGGUCUGUGAUUUCCCUACACACUCCAAAACAUCAACCUCUGCUUCAAACUGACCUGAGUUUUGUGUGGAUGGUCAUUAAUUGUAAUGAGAGCAGGGUCUCUUUUCAGUUGAAGACUUCACAGUUUCCACUUUUAAAGGCAUCUCUUCAGAUGAGAAGUGGCAGUGAGAGAAUGCUUGUCAUUUUUUUUCAAACUACAUCUGGUUUUAAAUUAUAAAUUCACCUCUCAGUGAGAGACUGUCAAGACUGAAUUCAAUUGUAGCAACUUGAGUCAGUGGAGGGAUAUUUAAAGGAGAACAUUCAGAACAGAACUGAAAAUGCAGGACUUCUUAAGCCACUAAAACAACCUUUGCACACUGCUUUAGACCAGUCAACAGAUUUGUCUCCCUGGAACAAUUACAGAAAUGAAAAUCAAAUUGAAGGAUCGCAGUUGUGACACAUGAGAGGAGAUCCAGCGUCUGUCACAGAAGUGCAAGAAGACAAAGCAGGACUUCCACUGGGAGAUCUAAAAAAAGCAUCUCUAUUGAAAAUUGUCCAGAUGUGCACCAGAAGAUGACUUUUAAGGAAGAUCAGACAAACUUACAGCAGGUAAAGGUUUUUGAUAUUAUGGAGUUAUUGUCAGCUCCUUUAAAAAAAAAUCACACCUCAUCUGUAUGACAGUAAACAGGGAAAAAAAUCCUAUUUAAAAUCAAAAAAGAAACGGAAUGCAUUAAUAUCAGGAUGUAGGCAGAAAAAGUAAAACAUUUGCCUCUCCUGCAUUUCCACCACUGAGGUGUCCCUGACAAAAUCAUCAACAUCCCAGCUGCAAAGCUGCUCAGAGGUAAGCCAUGUAGCCUGUGGCUAUAUCAGUGACGCUAAACAAACAAAAAAAAGAAAGCGUUUAUAAUAACAGUGAUAAAUAAAUGCAUAACAAAAUACAGCAUUAACUGUUGUCUUGUAUUAACCCCUUAAAUUCUAAUCUUUCUGUCUUUCUAAAUAAAAGAAUUUCAUCCAGAUUUAGUGAGUAACAGCUUCCAACUGUGAGUUCAGCCAGCCUUGGAGUGGAGAUACUGGGAGAAUUGUGAAUUGCAAAAUGUCUUUUUCUGUCCUUGAGAGAUUUAACAAAACCCAGACGUUGGUGGUUCUGUUUUAAAAACUCUCAGCUCAAACAAUUGCUACAGUGCAUUUUAUUCUUGGCAGCACCAGACCAAGUGUGCUGAUUGUGUUUGUAAAAGCAUGGCGCCGAGUACUCCAGGGUGGAAUUGUUCUAGCUUUGCAGUUUUUAAAAUUUCUUGACAUUGUUAUAGCAGACUGGACAAGUAAAAAGGGCAAACAGCUGCUUAGGAUUUGUUUUCUUGCAGUGGCCAUGAAACUCUAUAUUUGUAAAGAUUUCUCUCCAAUAAGACAGAGCCUGAUGUAUGUUCAGUGAUCUUCAAAUGAUAGAUAGAUAGAUAGAUAGAUAGAUAGAUAGAUAGAUAGAUAGAUAGAUAGAUAGAUAGAUAGAUAGAUAGAUAGAUAGAUAGAUAGAGAUAGAUAGAUCGAUGAUAGAUAGAUAGAUAGAUAGAUAGAUAGAUAGAUAGAUAGAUAGAUAGAUAGAUAGAUAGAUAGAUAGAUAUGCAGUCAUGCAGUACAAACUGUUGAGGUCUAAAAUAAGAGAUGACAGAAUAGAAGACUUAAUGCAAGACUAAACGGGGUCUGAUUAAACACUUGUAUUAAACACACAAAGUGCAUGCUAGAAUGGAAUAAAAAAUAAAUUGUUAAAGCAUUCUUCCAUUAAAAAGAAGUAACAGUCU